rnacentral:lncRNA from 1 species
UAAUUACUUUGAAUGUAAAUGGACUAAAUGCUCCAAUCAAAAGACAUAGGGUCAUAGAAUGGAUUAAAAAAGCGAGAUCGAACCCCAUGUUGAGUGUAGAAACUACUUAAAUAAAUAGAAGUAACUUACUUUUUAAAAGGCCUACCUAUAUGCUGUCUAUAAGAGACUCAUUUCAGACCUAAACAUACUUACACUUUGAAAGUAAAAGGUUUGGAAAACAUUUAUCAAGCAAAUGGAAGUGAAAAGAAAACCAGGUUAGGGCAGCCCCAGUGGCGCAGCGGUUUAGCGCCACCUGCAGCCCAGGGUGUGAUCCUGGAGACCCAGGAUCAAGUCCCACGUCGGGCUUCCUGCAUGGCCUGCUUCUCCCUCUGCCUGUGUCUCUGCCUCUCUCUCGCUCUCUCUGAAUAAAUAAAUAAAUAAAUCUUAAAAAAAAAAAAAAACCAGGUUAGCAAUACUUCUAUCAGACAAAAUAGACUUUAAAACAAAGACUGUAACAAGAAACAAGGAAGGACACCACAUAAAGGGAACAAUCCAACAAUAAGAUGUAACAAUUGUAAAUAUUUAUACACCCAACAUGAAAGCAUCCAAAGACAUAAAGCUGCUGAUAAUAAAUAUAAAAAAGAUCAUUAAUAGUAAUACAAUAAUAGUAAGGAACUUUAACACCCCAUUUACAUCGAUGGAUAGAUCUUCCAAACAGAAAAUCAACAAGGAAUCAGUGGCUUUGAAUAAUGCAUUGGACUAGAUGGAGCUAAGAGAGAGAUUCAGAACAUCACAUCCUAAAACAGUGGAAUACACAUUCUUUUCAACUGCAUGUGGAACAUUCUCCAGAAGAGAUCACAUGCUGGUCCACAAAACAAGUCCCGACAAAUUCAAAAUUGAAAAGUCAUGCAUCCUUUCCAACUACACCACCAUGAAACUAGAAAACAAGCACAAGCAAAAUCUGGAAAGAAAAUACAUACAUGGAGGUUAAAUAACAUGCUACUAAACAAUGAAUGGGUCAACCAAGAAAUCAAAGGGGAAAUCAAAAAAUACAUGGAGGGACACCUUGGUGGCUCAACAGUUGAGCGUCUGCCUUUGGCUCAGGGCUUGAUCCUAGAGUCCUGGAAUCGAGUUCCACAUCGGGCUCCCUGCUUGCAGCCUGCUUCUCCCUCUGCCUGUGUCUCUGCUUCUUUGUGUGUGUGUGUGUGUGUGUGUCUCAUGAAUAAAUAAAAUAUUUUUAAAAAAUACAUGGAGACAAAUGAAAAUGAAAAUACUGGUCCAAAAUCUUUGAGAUGCAGCAAAAGAGGUUCUAAGAGGGAAUUUUACUCUGUAGUUAAGAAU